ACCGACCUCUACCAGCCUGUCGAAAUGCCUCUCAGCUUCGGCCGCUCCAUCUCCUUCCCUCUCACCCGGCACCAUCUCCAAGCCCGCCACGUCCGCUCCGUCAGCCUUCCCGGCACCACCUCCUCCCACCCGCUCCUCGCCAACCUCCGUGCCCACAUCACCGCCCUCCGCGCCUGGACACACACCGACUCGUCCUCCUCCCUCCACGCCGGCCUCGCUGCCAUGCACGCACUCCACGCCGCGCUUGCUGACGUCCUCCUCCUCCUGGAGUCUCGUCGGGCCACCACCUACGUCGGCGACCGCCUCCUCGACGCAUUCCUCCUCCUCGCCGACGCGCACCAGGGCUUCCAGGAAUGCGUCAUGUCGCUCAGGCACGUCACUGCCGAGUCCCGCGCCGCGCUCCGCAGAGGGGACACCGGCAGACUCGCGUCCGCCUCCAGGUCGCGGCGCAGGGCCGAGAAGGACCUCGCCCGCCUCACCGCCUCUGUUUCCGCCGUCUCUGCCAAGUGCCCGCGAUUGAACCUUCUCGCUGGUGCCGAGGAGGCCCAGAUGGCCGGCCUGCUCGUGGAGGCGGCCGCUUUGAGCGCCGCGGCGUCUGCAGCCGUCUUCUCGUCCGCCGCGUCCUUGUCGUCCCCUGCGUCUACUAGCAAGAAGAUAGCUAUGUUUAUUCCUGCGUUCACCACCAGGAAGUCCACCGCGCCGGAGACGGAGGAGGCGGCCGCGGAGAGGCUGCACGCGCGCGCUGGAGAAAUUCUCUGGUGGGCAGCAUUAUACUCC
rnacentral:rRNA from 1 species